UACGUAGGGUCCGAGCGUUGUCCGGAAUUACUGGGCGUAAAGAGCUCGUAGGUGGUUUGUCGCGUUGUUCGUGAAAACUCACAGCUCAACUCCGGGCCUGCAUUCGAUACGGGCAGACUAGAGUUCGGUAGGGGAGUCUGGAAUUCCUGGUGUAGCGGUGAAAUGCGCAGAUAUCAGGAGGAACACCGGUGGCGAAGGCGGGACUCUGGGCCGAUACUGACGCUGAGGAGCGAAAGCGUGGGGAGCAAACAGG
rnacentral:rRNA from 1 species